ensembl:snRNA U4 U4 spliceosomal RNA
AACUUUGCACAGUGGCAGUGUCGUAGCCUGUGAGGUUAAGCCGAGGUGUGAUUAUUGCUAGUUGAAGAUUUUUCCCAAUACCCC